rnacentral:rRNA from 1 species
CGGGGUGAGUAAUGUCUGGGAAACUGCCUGAUGGAGGGGGAUAGCUACUGGAAACGGUAGCUAAUACCGCAUAACGUCGCAAGACCAAAGAGGGGGACCUUAGGGCCUCUUGCCAUCGGAUGUGCCCAGAUGGGAUUAGCUAGUAGGUGGGGUAACGGCUCACCUAGGCGACGAUCCCUAGCUGGUCUGAGAGGAUGACCAGCCACACUGGAACUGAGACACGGUCCAG